rnacentral:rRNA from 1 species
GGAUCAUUAAAGAGUUUAAUAAAACUCCUAAACCCCUGUGAACUUACUGGUGUUUGGCUCGCCAGAUAUAGUCUGGUCCGUAAGCAAAUCGACUGCCUGCCUGUGUAACAGGCAGGUAAGCUUUUGUCGCGGGGUCCCGGAUCAACCCGGGCUAGAUAGCCACUUAACUAUAUACUUUUUAUAAAAUCUGUGAACUUACUAGGUUGGAUUCUCGCCAGAGAUAGUCUGGUUUCUGCUUCGCGGAUCGCCUACCCGUGACACCUGUCACAGGCAGGUAUGCUUCUGCCGCGGGUCCGUAAGUAAAUCAUCUGUUUCGCAAGGGACGGCGAUUUACCUGUGGAAGAGGUCCGCUAACUAUAUUCUUAGUAUAGUUUGUUCACUAGAUCAAACAUUCUGAAUAAAAACUUAAACUAGUUAAAACUUUCAACAACGGAUCUCUUGGUUCUGGCAUCGAUGAAGAACGCAGCGAAAUGCGAUAAGUAAUGUGAAUUGCAGAAUUCAGUGAAUCAUCGAAUCUUUGAACGCACAUUGCGCCCAUUAGUAUUCUAGUGGGCAUGCCUGUUCGAGCGUCAUUUCAACCCUUAAGCCCCUGUUGCUUAGCGUUGGGAGCCUACAGCCUGCUGUAGCUCCUUAAAGGUAGUGGCGGAGUCGGUUCACACUCUAGACGUAGUAAAAUCUUUAUCUCGCCUAUGGAUGAGCCGGCGCCUUGCCGUAAAACCCCUAAUCUUUCACAAGGUUGACCUCGGAUCAGGUAGGAAUACCCGCUGAACUUAAGCAUAUCAAUAAGCGGAGGAAAAGAAACCAACAGGGAUUGCCCUAGUAACGGCGAGUGAAGCGGCAACAGCUCAAAUUUGAAAUCUGGCCUUCGGGUCCGAGUUGUAAUUUGCAGAGGAUGCUUUGGGCGCGGUGCCUUCCGAGUUCCCUGGAACGGGACGCCUUAGAGGGUGAGAGCCCCGUACGGUUGGACACCAAGCCUCUGUAAAGCUCCUUCGACGAGUCGAGUAGUUUGGGAAUGCUGCUCUAAAUGGGAGGUAAAUUUCUUCUAAAGCUAAAUAUUGGCCAGAGACCGAUAGCGCACAAGUAGAGUGAUCGAAAGAUGAAAAGCACUUUGAAAAGAGGGUUAAAUAGCACGUGAAAUUGUUGAAAGGGAAGCGUUUACGACCAGACCUUUUCGCAGCGGAUCAUCCGGUGUUCUCACCGGUGCACUUCGCUGGGUUGAGGCCAGCAUCGGUUUCCGCAGGGGGAUAAAAGCCUGGGGAACGUAGCUCCCUCGGGAGUGUUAUAGCCCCUCGCAUAAUACCCUUGCGGGGACCGAGGACCGCGCU